ACCUUGCGCCGACGCCGAACAUUCUUCUCCCGAUCUUCUGCCCUAACCGCCACGAGAGCACCGCCGGCUCCUCCUCUCGGCCAAUCUAUCCUCGCCGGCCGACGAGAGCCAAGGAUAAAGCCCUGUCGCCGGCCACACACCGAGCCCUAGGUCUUUCUCUCUCGGCGCCGGUUACUUCUUCCUCCGGUAUCGGAGCCGUGCUGAGGGAUGUGCUUCUCCUCCCUUGCCGGUGCUCUCGGUUUUCCCUCUGCCUCAUCGCCUCCUCGCCACAGAGAUCUUCCUCCGCCGAUUCUUCCUCCUCAUCCAUUCGGAGCCGCGUGCCGAUCACCGGCCACUACAGCCCGUUCUUGUGCGCUGCCCUAUUGAUCACCGCCGACUCCUUGUUCUUGGGUCGUGCCCUAGUUCCUGGUGUCGCCCCUCUUCAGAGUCGCCGGUCAUAGAGCUCCGACGCCAACAGCAGGUGCAUCCGGCUGAGGGGUUGAAGGUGAAGGCUUAAGAUUCAUUGCGACGGUGGUGUAUUUGGUUUCAGCGGCUGCCCUUAUUCCGACAGGAACCACCUGUUGUGGACCAACAGAAGAGACUUUGGUGUUGAGGACUGUGAUUUGAGACGGGCGUCUCGACAUCGGAUUGGUUCGAUUCGAUCUAUAUCGGAG